GACGAACCGUCCAAACGUUAUUCGGAAUCACUGGGCUUAAAGGGUGCGUAGGCGGCGCGGCAAGUUGGGUGUGAAAUCCCUCGGCUCAACCGAGGAACUGCGCCCAAAACUGCCGUGCUCGAGGGAGAUAGAGGUGAGCGGAACUUAGGGUGGAGCGGUGAAAUGCGUAGAUAUCUGGAGGAACACCGGUGGCGAAGGCGGCGUCCUGGACCAACACUGACACUGAUGAGCGAAAGCCAGGGGAGCAAACGGG
rnacentral:rRNA from 1 species